AUGCCAAGCUAUCAACUUCUAAAUCUUCACGACAUGCCACUUUUUCUUAAUCUCCCUGACCAAUUUGUUUCACCAUCAUCACCCAAUCAUAAUCUUCCCAAACAGUCAACAUUAUCACCAAAUAAAGACAAUCAAAAUCAAUUCAUGAACAUGUGUACAUGGGAACUUACAAGCAGCCUACAUCAAUCAUGA